rnacentral:ncRNA from 1 species
GAUCCGUAACCUUGGGAGAAGGAUCGGCUCUGGGGGCUGAGAUCAGAUACAUGUCGGUCCAGUUGGAAACUGUGCUCUUCGGUGCCCAUCGUUGUGGAGUUACUGAACUCUUGCCGUGAUCUAUCGUGGGCGGUUUUAGUUGUUAGCGUUGUAUAACUAGAAACUCGCGUGGACUUGCUCUGCGUUGCGUAAAGCGGCUGUGCUUCCAUUGUUUGACACGCGACAGCUAACUCAGAACUGAUACGGACCGGAGGAAUCUGACAGUCUAAUUAAAACAAAGCAUUGUGAUGUCCGCUGACCGGUUAUGGCGCAAUAUGAUUUCUGUCCAGUGCUCGGAAUGCAAAUAAAAUGAAAUUCGACCAAAUGCGGGUAAACGGCGGGAAAAACGAUGACAACCCGCUACCAAAUUAGUUAUUCUUUCUAAUGAACCAUUCUUAC